GCAUAGGACACGACCUUACUUGAACAGGAUCUGUUCUAUAGGCUCGUACCUCUGUAUCCUUGAUUUCUAAGGAGACAGGCCCCUAAACCUGGUUGAUGAAUCAUAGCCGUGCGAUCUGAGUGUGAUUAACGGUUACGAUUCUCCUCGGAGUCUCUGCACUGUAGAGGAUCGCUAUCCGGUUAGGUUUGACCUCUCCGGGGUGGUCGCACGGUUGUCUGACAGGCCCUUCUUUUUUUUGGCCGGUGUACACUCUUAAUCAUAUAUUUCACUAACACCACCACAAACAAGACCGUGAAGACCACAAGCCGCAGGAGCAUCUUUGAAAUGGGCAUAUGAUCAUGUGGGCAAGUGGACAGGUUUACUCGAAUGGCGGACUCUCCAGCUCAAGCCCAUCAGUGAUUCAAGCGCUGUUUCCAUUUCAGAUUUGGAGGAGUAACACACAAAGCCAUAACCCUUUGAUUUCCCGGUGUCUCCGUCAUACUGUAUGAGUCAUACUCAUACACAACUGUAGCACCAACCAAAUCGAAUCCACACUCUCGAAACGCUCCACUCUGAAGUGACUGUCCACGACAUGUUACUCUCACGUACAGUUCCAUCAAGAUUCUCGAUAAUGUAUGGACUGCAACAACCAACUCAUCUCCAACAAUGGGCCAAGAUGCGUUUUAGAAUUCCACUGUAUAACCAUAUGGACCAGAGGAAUUCUCACUUGGCAUGGAAAAAUGAACUUUCGUUAUCUCCUUCGUGGUUAUAUCAUUUAUCAGGUGUGCUUUAUCCAAAUCAGGACAUCUAUUUGAUAAGAAAUCCUGGAGCUCACCCACCUCUGACACCAGAGUAGGUUGAUGGCUUAUGCUGAAGAAAUUCUCUAAAGUGUCUCUCAGCUCCGAUUUUAUUUCUUCAGAUGAUGUUACCACUUCUCCAUUAGCACAUUGCAUCAUGAAGUGACACAGAGAAGAAACUUGUCAGUCUCUUCACCUGCCUACUGCAUUUGGUAGCUUAUUGAGGUCAGUGACAAAAAAAAAAAAUCAUUGAGGGGAACAAACGACGGCGUAUUAGGUAGUAUAGGGGAGAAACGAUAUCGUAUUAAGCAUGUGAUAUUGUUUUAUAUAUCCCACAUCGGUCCUGUACAGUUGCUUUAUGUUGUUUAUAUACACGUAGAAAGCAUCAGGGGUCACGACCUUACUUGAACAGGAUCUGUUCUAUAGGCUCGUACCUCUGUAUCCUUGAUUUCUAAGGAGACAGGUCCCUAAACCUGGUUGAUGAAUCAUGGCCGUGCGACUUGAGUGUGAUUAACGGUUGUGAUUCUCCUCGGAGGCUCUGCACUGUAGAGGAUCGCUAUCUGGUUAGAUCUUGAUCUUUCCGGAGUGGUUGCACGGUUGUCUGACAGGCUUUACUUUUUUCAGUUGAAACACAUAUUAUAAUGUCACAUGCUCAAAACGAUCCCACAAUUGUUUCUUUUUCAUCUGUAUUUCUGCCCUGGAUCCAUGGUUAUUAGAAUGUUGUAGAUAUAUGGCAUUUGAGCUCUGUGUCUUCUGAAGCUCAAACUCAUUCACAAGAGUGAUCUAGACAGUAAUAUCAGCCUUGAUAGAUAAAUAGAUAAUGCAUCAAGCAAUAGCUUUCUUGGGUCUCUUAAUAACUCAAAAUUUCAUGUCUAAAAAAGUUUAUUGUGUAUUCCAGCCAUUUUGAGGUUGUGUACGGAUUAAUACCACACCUCCAAGAGAACUCUAUCACUUCUAAAAAGUUCCAAGUUCACUUUUUUGGGUCAGCAAUUCAUUCCACCAAAAUGAGCAUGUUCCAUGCCAUCAAUAACCACUACUGGAUUAUGUGUGCUAUUAUUAGCAUCCUGGAGGCAAGGUCGAGAACAAGUUUUAUACAAAUAAUGACCCAUAAUAUACCCUAUCCAUAAAAUAUCCUGAGAGAAAUAUAAAAGACCAGACAAUAAGGAUAGCUGUAACCAUAGAGAAUACUAAUGCAAGUAAGCAGCAAAACAAAAGCAUAACUACAAACUUUGCUAGAGGAUUGCAUUAGAUUCUAGAGGCGGAUAAAACAUAGAAAAUAAACUGUAGAGACUGAAGCAGAUUCUUGUAAACAAUAAUCUGGCUAUAUUCCUUUUUUUUUUGGUUAUUCUGGUAUAGCCAUAACUCCCAAGACUGAAGCAGCCAGACAUUAUAUGGUAUGACCGUUUGGUACUGAUAUCCAGGGAAAACACAAAGGAUCACAAUUGUUUGGGUGCAAAGUACUUGACGUGAAUGUUCAAGAGAAAGAUAUGUUAUCUCAUAGCUGAGUCUGUCAUGUUAGCUUGGCAAUGACAAUACAAAUCUGUGAUGACCUCUAUUAACAACAACCAGUUCAUUCAGAAGAACGGUUUCUAGAUGGUCCAGUAGUAUCUUUACCUUGACAAGAACCAAAGUCUUGGGUCUGCUUCUUGAGAAAUUAUCCGACAGCCCAAGAGCUUUCCGCAUUUAUUAUUACGCAGAAGUGGAAUCAAUCGAUUGAGAGCGAACGAGACUACGAACUUCUGGGGCAAGAGCUUCGCCGCUGUGGAGACAGAGCAUGAAGUGCCGUCACAAACUUAUCUACCGGAAACUUAUCAUGAAACGCAAUCACGGGCUCAGAAAAGAUUAUUCAAAGAAGAAACAGCUGUUUCAGUCUCUUCAUCUGCUUACUGUAUUUGGUAUUAGUUUUUUUCUGAGGGGAGAAACGACCACGUAAUGGAAAUAGGUCAUUGUGGGGAGAAAACGACGACGUAUUUAGCGUGUGGUGUUGUUAUUACAUCCCACAUCGUUAACAAACAGAGAUGUCAAGCUGUUUAUAAAGAGCAGAGUCGAAGGUAUUGGUCACGACCUUACUUGAACAGGAUCUGUUCUAUAGGCUCGUACCUCUGUAUCCUUGAUUUCUAAGGAGACAGGCCCUCAAACCUGGUUGAUGAAUCAUGGCCGUGCGAUCUGAGUGUGAUUAACGGCUACGAUUCUCCUAGGAGACUCUGCGCUGUAGAGGAUCGCUAUCCGGUUUGGCCUUGACCUGUCCGGGGUGGUCGCACGGUUGUCUGACAGGCCUUCCUUUU